UCGGCCCCUGUGCGCGUGCGCGGAGUCGGGCUGUUUGGAGUCGGCCAGGACCGGCGGCUGUCUUCCCGUUACCCCAUGGGGGUCGGUAGGGCGGCAGGUGCACCCCAGACAACGCUUCACCCUGCAGUAAAUUCCGUAAUCACAGGUCACCGAGUGGGCGCCCCUUUGAAGUGAGGGACUUUCUUCUUGUUCCUGCGGUGGAUACAAUUUGGCCGAGAUAUCAAAUGCAGAUAGUAAAAAUUUAAUUAACAAACCAAAGCCUUUAUCUGUAGUUUUUAGAACUGUGGCCAACAAUUUUCUUCAAUCUCAAGAGCUCCAGUCAGAGCUGAGAGAAGAAAGCAGCGCCUUUGUAGUGCGGAGAACAUACAGCUUUUCCUGAUGAUGGCUCCCACAGAUAAGGCUCCUCUCAACUGCCUACUCCUUGGAAGAGGCUUUGAGGCCCCUCUGCAAGUGGGGCUGCAUUUUUGAGAGCCGUUUCACAUUUUGCUGUGCUUAACGCUUUAUCUGCAGAGUCCCGGAUGAUUCUCCCAACAAGCCACGCUGUGAGAGACUGAGUCUCUUGUGUAGGAUUAUGUGCACAGGCAGCAGACCCAGGACAGAAAACAUAAUCACCCCAGUCUUUCUUAUCAGAAGCUUAUUGAGGAUGCAGUCUUAGGUGACGUGGAGAUAAAGUGACACUAAUUACUUACAGGUAACAGUUUACUUCCAUACCAGCCUUUCAACAAAUUCACACGGGGAACAGCUAAUGCUGCUGUCCACUAGAGCUUCUGUGGAUGGGGAAACCGAGACUCGGAGAGGCCAAGAACGUGUUCUGUCUUCUAGUCCAGGCGGAACUCUCCUGAAGAAAGCAAAAGGAAAUCAUGCAAGGCCAUGUGUAAGUAACAUGCAAUGAAAGCAUCAGAAUCCAAAUAGGUGACCAUCUUGUUGGAAAAACAAAAGAAAAUGCUUGAGAUAGUCUCAAGAUUAAGCAAAAAUGAUCAGAAAAACUGUAAGAAGCUGCCAUCAUGUUUAAAGCAGCACAUGGUUUUAAAACAUACCUCCUCACCCUACGGUUAAAAAAUAAAUAGGAGUUCUUAAAGGCUUCAAAAAACAAUAGCAUUGCAAGACCUUUAUUUUUAUAAUUCAGUGAAUCUGUAAUAUAUUAAACAUGAGAGGAUCCUC